GAAAUGCGAUACGUAGUGUGAAUUGCAUAAAUACGUGAAUCAUCGAAUCUUUGAACGCACAUUGCGCCCUCUGGCAUUCCGGGGGGCAUGCCUGUCCGAGCGUCAUUACGCACCCUCAAGCCCGGCUUGUGUGAUGGGCCCCGGCGUCUCGUUCGCGAGACGGGCCCGAAAGGCAGCGGCGGCGUCGACCCGAUGAGCCCGAGCGUAUGGGGACUUCUGUCACACGUUCGCGGUGCGGACCGGCGCCUGCUUGACUUUUCUGAUUAUCCAGGUUGACCUCGGAUCAGGUAGGGAUACCCGCUGAACUUAAGC
rnacentral:misc_RNA from 1 species